UACGAAGGGUGCAAGCGUUACUCGGAAUUACUGGGCGUAAAGCGUGCGUAGGUGGUGAGUUAAGUCUGUCGUGAAAGCCCCGGGCUCAACCUGGGAAUGGCGAUGGAUACUGGCUCGCUAGAGUGCGGUAGAGGAGAGUGGAAUUCCCGGUGUAGCAGUGAAAUGCGUAGAGAUCGGGAGGAACAUCAGUUGCGAAGGCGGCUCUCUGGACCAGCACUGACACUGAGGUGCGAAAGCGUGGGGAGCAAACAGG
rnacentral:rRNA from 1 species